UAGGGAAUCUUCCACAAUGGACGAAAGUACUGAUGGAGCAACGCCGCGUGAGUGAAGAAGGGUUUCGGCUCGUAAAACUCUGUUGUUAAAGAAGAACAUAUCUGAGAGUAACUGUUCAGGUAUUGACGGUAUUUUAACCAGAAAGCCACGGCUAACUACGUGCCA
rnacentral:rRNA from 1 species